UACGUAGGGGGCAAGCGUUUGUCCGGAUUUAUUGGGCGUAAAGAGCUCGUAGGCGGUUUCGUAAGUCGGGUGUGAAAACUCUAGGCUCAACCUGGAGACGCCACCUGAUACUGCUGUGGCUAGAGUCCGGUAGGGGAGCGUGGAAUUCCUGGUGUAGCGGUGAAAUGCGUAGAGAUGUGGAGGAACACCGAUGGACGAAGGCAGCCCCCUGGGUCAAGACUGACGCU
rnacentral:rRNA from 1 species